rnacentral:pre_miRNA from 1 species
GGCACAAAUUUGAAGUGGGAUAGAUAAGUAGCAUCAGCUGGUCCUGCUUAUCCAUUCUACUUGAAAUCCGUGCCC